GACAGAGGGUGCAAACGUUGCUCGGAAUUACUGGGCGUAAAGCGCGUGUAGGUGGAUUGGUGUGUCAGAUGUGAAAUCCCUGGGCUCAACCCAGGAACUGCACCUGAAACUACCAGUCUUGAGUGGUGGAGAGGGAUGCGGAAUUCCAGGUGUAGCGGUGAAAUGCGUAGAUAUCUGGAGGAACACCGGUGGCGAAGGCGGCAUCCUGGACCAACACUGACGCUGAGUGAGCGAAAGCCAGGGGAGCAAACGGG
rnacentral:rRNA from 1 species